rfam:Schistosoma margrebowiei strain Zambia genome assembly, scaffold: SMRZ_scaffold0000001
GCACUGCUGAGGAGUCCCGUACUAAGACGAAACGGCCGUCCAGUGC